rnacentral:rRNA from 1 species
GGGUUGUGAGGUUAAGCGACUAAGCGUACACGGUGGAUGCCCUGGCAGUCAGAGGCGAUGAAGGGCGUGCUAAUCUGCGAUAAGCGCCGGUAAGGUGAUAUGAACCGUUAUAACCGGCGAUACCCGAAUGGGGAAACCCAGUGUGAUUCGUCACACUAUCAUUAACUGAAUCCAUAGGUUAAUGAGGCGAACCGGGGGAACUGAAACAUCUAAGUACCCCGAGGAAAAGAAAUCAACCGAGAUUCCCCCAGUAGCGGCGAGCGAACGGGGAGGAGCCCAGAGCCUGAAUCAGCAUGUGUGUUAGUGGAAGCGUCUGGAAAGGCGCGCGAUACAGGGUGACAGCCCCGUACACAAAAGCGCAUGUGCUGUGAGCUCGAUGAGUAGGGCGGGACACGUGGUAUCCUGUCUGAAUAUGGGGGGACCAUCCUCCAAGGCUAAAUACUCCUGACUGACCGAUAGUGAACCAGUACCGUGAGGGAAAGGCGAAAAGAACCCCGGCGAGGGGAGUGAAAAAGAACCUGAAACCGUGUACGUACAAGCAGUGGGAGCACCCUUUGGGGUGUGACUGCGUACCUUUUGUAUAAUGGGUCAGCGACUUAUAUUCUGUAGCAAGGUUAACCGAAUAGGGGAGCCGGAGGGAAACCGAGUCUUAAUUGGGCGUUAAGUUGCAGGGUAUAGACCCGAAACCCGGUGAUCUAGCCAUGGGCAGGUUGAAGGUUGGGUAACACUAACUGGAGGACCGAACCGACUAAUGUUGAAAAAUUAGCGGAUGACCUGUGGCUGGGGGUGAAAGGCCAAUCAAACCGGGAGAUAGCUGGUUCUCCCCGAAAGCUAUUUAGGUAGCGCCUCGUGAAUUCAUCUCCGGGGGUAGAGCACUGUUUCGGCUAGGGGGUCAUCCCGACUUACCAACCCGAUGCAAACUGCGAAUACCGGAGAAUGUUAUCACGGGAGACACACGGCGGGUGCUAACGUCCGUCGUGAAGAGGGAAACAACCCAGACCGCCAGCUAAGGUCCCAAAGUCAUGGUUAAGUGGGAAACGAUGUGGGAAGGCCCAGACAGCCAGGAUGUUGGCUUAGAAGCAGCCAUCAUUUAAAGAAAGCGUAAUAGCUCACUGGUCGAGUCGGCCUGCGCGGAAGAUGUAACGGGGCUAAACCAUGCACCGAAGCUGCGGCAGCGACACUAUGUGUUGUUGGGUAGGGGAGCGUUCUGUAAGCCUGUGAAGGUGUGUCGUGAGGCAUGCUGGAGGUAUCAGAAGUGCGAAUGCUGACAUAAGUAACGAUAAAGCGGGUGAAAAGCCCGCUCGCCGGAAGACCAAGGGUUCCUGUCCAACGUUAAUCGGGGCAGGGUGAGUCGACCCCUAAGGCGAGGCCGAAAGGCGUAGUCGAUGGGAAACGGGUUAAUAUUCCCGUACUUGGUGUUACUGCGAAGGGGGGACGGAGAAGGCUAUGUUGGCCGGGCGACGGUUGUCCCGGUUUAAGCGUGUAGGUGUGUGUUCCAGGUAAAUCCGGUUCACUUUAACACUGAGGCGUGACGACGAGGCACUACGGUGCUGAAGCAACAAAUGCCCUGCUUCCAGGAAAAGCCUCUAAGCAUCAGGUAACAUCAAAUCGUACCCCAAACCGACACAGGUGGUCAGGUAGAGAAUACCAAGGCGCUUGAGAGAACUCGGGUGAAGGAACUAGGCAAAAUGGUGCCGUAACUUCGGGAGAAGGCACGCUGACACGUAGGUGAAGUGAUUUACUCAUGGAGCUGAAGUCAGUCGAAGAUACCAGCUGGCUGCAACUGUUUAUUAAAAACACAGCACUGUGCAAACACGAAAGUGGACGUAUACGGUGUGACGCCUGCCCGGUGCCGGAAGGUUAAUUGAUGGGGUCAGCGCAAGCGAAGCUCCUGAUCGAAGCCCCGGUAAACGGCGGCCGUAACUAUAACGGUCCUAAGGUAGCGAAAUUCCUUGUCGGGUAAGUUCCGACCUGCACGAAUGGCGUAAUGAUGGCCAGGCUGUCUCCACCCGAGACUCAGUGAAAUUGAACUCGCUGUGAAGAUGCAGUGUACCCGCGGCAAGACGGAAAGACCCCGUGAACCUUUACUAUAGCUUGACACUGAACAUUGAGCCUUGAUGUGUAGGAUAGGUGGGAGGCUUUGAAGUGUGGACGCCAGUCUGCAUGGAGCCGACCUUGAAAUACCACCCUUUAAUGUUUGAUGUUCUAACGUGGACCCGUUACCCGGGUUGCGGACAGUGUCUGGUGGGUAGUUUGACUGGGGCGGUCUCCUCCUAAAGAGUAACGGAGGAGCACGAAGGUUGGCUAAUCCUGGUCGGACAUCAGGAGGUUAGUGCAAUGGCAUAAGCCAGCUUGACUGCGAGCGUGACGGCGCGAGCAGGUGCGAAAGCAGGUCAUAGUGAUCCGGUGGUUCUGAAUGGAAGGGCCAUCGCUCAACGGAUAAAAGGUACUCCGGGGAUAACAGGCUGAUACCGCCCAAGAGUUCAUAUCGACGGCGGUGUUUGGCACCUCGAUGUCGGCUCAUCACAUCCUGGGGCUGAAGUAGGUCCCAAGGGUAUGGCUGUUCGCCAUUUAAAGUGGUACGCGAGCUGGGUUUAGAACGUCGUGAGACAGUUCGGUCCCUAUCUGCCGUGGGCGCUGGAGAACUGAGGGGGGCUGCUCCUAGUACGAGAGGACCGGAGUGGACGCAUCACUGGUGUUCGGGUUGUCAUGCCAAUGGCACUGCCCGGUAGCUAAAUGCGGAAGAGAUAAGUGCUGAAAGCAUCUAAGCACGAAACUUGCCCCGAGAUGAGUUCUCCCUGAGACUUAGAGUCUCCUGAAGGAACGUUGAAGACGACGACGUUGAUAGGCCGGGUGUGUAAGCGCAGCGAUGCGUUGAGCUAACCGGUACUAAUGAACCGUGAGGCUUAACCUUACAACGCCGAAG